rnacentral:rRNA from 1 species
CAAGGCGAUGAUGGUUAACCGGCCUGAGAGGGUGUUCGGUCACACUGGAACUGAGAUACGGUCCAGACUCCUACGGGAGGCAGCAGUGAGGAAUAUUGCGCAAUGGGCGAAAGCCUGACGCAGCGACGCCGCGUGGAGGAUGAAGGUCUUCGGAUUGUAAACUUCUGUUAAGUGGGAAGAAAGGGCUGUUUUUAAUAGAAGCAGUUAAUGACGGUACCAUUAAAGAAAGCACCGGCUAAACUCGUGCCAGCAGCCGCGGUAAUACGAGUGGUGCAAGCGUUAUUCGGAAUAAUUGGGCGUACAGGGUGUGUAGGCGGUAUGUUAAGUCUGUUGUUAAAGACUCCGGCCUAACCGGAGACAGGCAGCGGAAACUGGCGUACUAGAGGGUGGAAGAGAGAAGUGGAAUUCUCGGUGUAGCGGUAAAAUGCGUAGAUAUCGAGAGGAACACCGAUGGCGAAGGCAGCUUCUUGGUCCAUACCUGACGCUGAAACACGAAAGCGUGGGGAGCAAACAGGAUUAGAUACCCUGGUAGUCCACGCUGUAAACGAUGAUCACUAGACGUUGGUUCUGUUUUACAGAAUCAGUGUCGCAGCUAACGCG